CAGCAGCCGCGGUAAGACGAACCGUGCGAACGUUAUUCGGAAUUAUUGGGCGUAAAGCGCGCGCAGGUGGUUUAAUAAGUCUGAUGCGAAAGCCCCCGGCUCAACUGGGGAGGGUCAUUGGAAACUGGGAAACUUGAGUGCAGAAGAGGAGAGUGGAAUUCCACGUGUAGCGGUGAAAUGCGUAGAGAUGUGGAGGAACACCAGUGGCGAAGGCGACUCUCUGGUCUGUAACUGACGCUGAGGAGCGAAAGCGUGGGGAGCGAACAGGAUUAGAUACCCCGGUAGUCCCUGUCUCUUAUAC
rnacentral:rRNA from 1 species